rnacentral:rRNA from 1 species
AGAGAGAGACAUGCGCGCAUAUCAAUAAGCGGAGGAAAAGAAACUAACUAGGAUUCCCUCAGUAACGGCGAGUGAAGCGGGAAGAGCUCAAAUUUGAAAUCUUCAAGGUUCUACCUUGACGAAUUGUAGUUUAAAGAAGGUGUUUUCUGUUGGAGUUUUGGUAAAAGUUCUUUGGAAUAGGACAUCAUAGAGGGUGAGAAUCCCGUAUUUGACCAUUAUUCUUCCAGCUGUGUGAUACACUUUCAAAGAGUCGGAUUGUUUGGGAAUGCAGUCCAAAAUGGGUGGUAAAUUUCAUCUAAAGCUAAAUACUGGCGAGAGACCGAUAGCGAACAAGUACCGUGAGGGAAAGAUGAAAAGAACUUUGAAAAGAGAGUUAAACAGUACGUGAAAUUGUCAAAAGGGAAGCGUUUGACACCAGUGUUGUUUUCUCGAAAAUCAAUUAAAAAUGGGCCGGGAUGUUGUGUUGUAUUGACCUUAUAAGCUUUCUUGCACUCUUUUUCCUUGUCUUUUUUAAUGCACUUUUCGUUUAACAAGUCAACAUCAAUUUCUUUUGUUGUAAAAGGGUCAUUGGAAGGUGGCUUUCUUUUCGGAGAAAGUGUUUAUAGCCCUUGAUCUCUGCAACCGGAGAAACUGAGGUCUGCAGCGUAGACUCUUCGGGGCUAGAUACAGUUUGUGCUAAGCUAUAGCUUUUUAUAGACAACUUGUUGACUAUAUUUAGUCUUGUGGCUUACUCGCUUAUGCUAUUUUACCUACGCUUAGGAUGUUGACAGCAGUAUAGACUGU